AAAUUGAAGAGUUUGAUCAUGGCUCAGAUUGAACGCUGGCGGCAGGCCUAACACAUGCAAGUCGAGCGGAAACGAGUUAUCUGAA
rnacentral:rRNA from 2 species